rnacentral:rRNA from 1 species
GUAGUCCACGCCGUAAACGUUGGGCGCUAGGUGUGGGGAACCUUCCACGUUCUCCGUGCCGCAGCUAACGCAUUAAGCGCCCCGCCUGGGGAGUACGGCCGCAAGGCUAAAACUCAAAGGAAUUGACGGGGGCCCGCACAAGCGGCGGAGCAUGUGGCUUAAUUCGACGCAACGCGAAGAACCUUACCAAGGCUUGACAUAUACCGAAAACUCAUAGAGAUAUGGGGUCCGCAAGGGCGGUAUACAGGUGGUGCAUGGUUGUCGUCAGCUCGUGUCGUGAGAUGUUGGGUUAAGUCCCGCAACGAGCGCAACCCUCGUUCUAUGUUGCCAGCGCGUAAUGGCGGGGACUCUAGCGAGACUGCCGAUAUUCAAAUCGGA